rnacentral:rRNA from 1 species
UACGAAGGGGGCGAGCGUUGUUCGGAAUCACUGGGUGUAAAGCGCGUGUAGGCGGCCUGCCAAGUCUGCUGUGAAAGCGCCUGGCUUAACCGGGCGAGGUCGGUGGAAACUGGCGGGCUGGAGGUCGGUAGAGGGGGGUGGAAUUCCCGGUGUAGUGGUGAAAUGCGUAGAGAUCGGGAGGAACACCAGUGGCGAAGGCGGCCCCCUGGGCCGUACCUGACGCUGAGACGCGAAAGCGCGGGGAGCGAACGGG